rnacentral:rRNA from 1 species
UGGGGAAUCUUGGGCAAUGGGCGAAAGCCUGACCCAGCAACGCCGCGUGAAGGAUGAAGUAUUUCGGUAUGUAAACUUCGUAAGAAUAGGAAGAAUAAAUGACGGUACUAUUUGUAAGGUCCGGCUAACUACGUGCCAGCAGCCGCGGUAAUACGUAGGGACCAAGCGUUGUUCGGAUUUACUGGGCGUAAAGCGUGCGCAGGCGGCGACAUAAGACAGAUGUGAAAUCCCCGGGCUCAACCUGGGAACUGCGUUUGUGACUGUGUUGCUAGAGUGUAGCAGAGGGGGGUGGAAUUCCACGUGUAGCAGUGAAAUGCGUAGAGAUGUGGAGGAACACCGAUGGCGAAGGCAGCCCCCUGGGUUAACACUGACGCUCAUGCACGAAAGCGUGGGGAGCAAACAGGAUUAGAUACCCCCGUAGUCCCUGAGCGGGCUGGCAAGGCGCAU